UACGUAGGGUGCAAGCGUUAAUCGGAAUUACUGGGCGUAAAGCGUGCGCAGGCGGUUUUGUAAGUCUGUCGUGAAAUCCCCGGGCUUAACCUGGGAAUGGCCGUUGAAACUGGCGAACUGGAGUGUGGCAGAGGGGGGUGGAAUUCCGCGUGUAGCAGUGAAAUGCGUAGAGAUGCGGAGGAACACCGAUGGCGAAGGCAGCCCCCUGGGCUAACACUGACGCUCAGGCACGAAAGCGUGGGGAGCAAACAGG
rnacentral:rRNA from 1 species